AUACUUACCUGGCAGGGAAGACACCUUGAUCAUGAAGGAGGUUUUCCCAUGGUGAGGCUCAGCCAUUGCACUCGGGUUGUGCUGACCCCUAUGAUUUCCCCAAAUGCGGGAAACUCGACUGCAUAAUUUGUGGUAGUGGUGGACCGUGUGCGUGCUUUCCCCUG
rnacentral:snRNA from 1 species